UGUAUCAACAAUUAGUCGCUAUGGCGGACACGGAAGAGAAUCUCGAUGUCAAACCAAACACCCAAUUGAGGGAUAUACAUGUUACCGUUCAGUUGUGCUUUGAAUGACAACUGAGCAAUGUCUGGUACAAUGGAAUCCGCAAGACAAUUUUGCAGGAGGCACCAGAGUCCAGGGUUGAAGGCUAUUCGGGAUGACAGAGUUUGUUUGAGGUGUCCAUCAACAACAAGCUCAUUUUCUCAAAGGCAAAGCUAGGAAGUUACCCGAGGAGAGCAGACAUCAAAAAGGCUAUAAAACAAGUGAAGAAUGGAGAGGAGCCAGACGAAAUAACGAGGACUGCAAGUAGUCAAUGCUGUACCGUGUUGUAGAUGGAGGAGCAUACAGUUGGUUAAUGUUUUGGUCAUCACAAUCUGAACUAAUCUGCUCAGAACGGACAUUCUCUGUCGUUAAGAGGAGCCUACAUAUCGAUCUAAUGGACUUUUGGUCGCUGGGAGGGACUUUCCUUUUCAAUCCAUUGACAUUCUCCAUACUCCAGGGGUUAGGUUCACUUUCGCUCUCUCGAGUAAUUUUAAAUUCCAUUUGACAACCAAUAGUCAAAAAAACAAAGUGACUGAAAUAAUGACAUCGAACAAAUAACUAUUUCCCAACAUGAAAUAUCAAAGAUUAUUCAAAAAUAAAAUACCGAUUGGUUAAGUAUUUUACAGUAAUCAUCUUUACUGGCAUUCAAAUUAAGAAAAAAAUAUCAUGAAACGUGACUAACCUAUAUCGUUGCGUGUUUUAAACAUUAAGGUACUGUUUUAAGUUUAAUGUGGAAUUAGAUGGGAUUUUGAAGACAGAAUCUGAAAUAACGUAUCUCGCUGUGAUUGAAUCUAUGCAAAAAUACUCGCAGCUGAAUUUUAUAUAUUCAUAUGAUUUAUAUAUAUGUUCCUGCUAGUUAUGACCAUGGUAGAAUCCUUUAUGACUUUACCACGACAGACAUUAUUUAUGAAUAUGAGGGAAUAUUUACGUCCAGAAUAAUGACGACUAACAUUAAAACAGGAAGGAAGUGUUGGUUUGAUGUAAAGUCUCUGGGUGAAAUCUCCAGUCAUGUUCAGUAUAUAAAUUCCAUUAAUCGUCUUCAACAUAUAUCGCAUGUAUGUGAUAAAAAUUAUAUUCAUAACAGUUAUGGAACUAGACUUAUAUUAAAAAAUUGGCCAGAAAUACCUAUACUAAAAAUCUUUAUAUAUAGGUAUUUCUGGCUAUGUUUCUUUAAUAUAAGACUAACCAUGCCCCUGUGCAUAAACAUACUGCAGCCUCCGGAUGGGGUGUCCUGCUUCUUGAAUUCGACAGUAUAUUUCAGUGAGGAAGCACUAUAAAGUCGGUAUCAAACAGAAAAUUACCGCAGCCUCCCCAAACACGCAUGCAUAUCGCAUACAAGGGAUGCCGUCUUUAGAUGGCCAUAGUUGUUGAUAGUCUAUGUUAAAAUGAACCAGGUAGCUACGCCAUUGAUAAGGAAAUCACUACGCAAUCAACAGAAAACACGUUCGUCUAUCUCGUUAUUUAUCUAUUGGCAAAUGAAUUUCGAUUUAUUUGAAAAACUGAUAGCUCUAUAUAUUUUAAAUAAAACUCCUGUCGUUUAGUGAUUCUGGUAUAUCAGUUUUGAAUUUUACGAGUUUACGUUUUGCUAAUGAUUACACUUUUUCAUGGGCUUUUAUUUCCUUGUAGAGACAACCAAAAUAAUAUUUAGUCUAUAAAAUCGGUAUCUGGCCCCGGUUUCAUUAACAUUCUUCGAAGAAAUUCCUCAGCUUGAAUUCUUCUAAAGGAAAGCAUUGCAGAAUCUAUGGAAUACAUCAAAUUUAAGAACUUUACUUAAAUUCAGUAAUGUUUUCCAAUGAAAAAUUGUAUGUUUUCUGUAGUAAUUGUGCAUUUCUGGAGUUGAAGUAAUAGUAUUAAAACUAUGGGGUUUUUUUUCAACAACAAAAACAAAAGUUCAGAAAUACUGAUGAAAUUGGUCCCAGGUUCUCUGCUUGACUGUUAGAAGGAAUGUUUGUUUCUCUUUCAUUAACCCAAUGAUUCGUUGAUAACGUCCGUAAACAUCAUUUUGUCAAUAUUGUAUGUAAGGCAAUAUCAAACCCUAAGGUGACAUGAUGGGCAAAACGAUGAUAGCGGACCAACUCUUAUUUUCAUAUAUCACUCUUGAUGUACAUAGUCAACUUUUGUUUUAAAACAGAAAGUCAAUUGAGUGACUAACAUUCCCGGGGAACUAUUAUUUUGAGUUUAUCUAUCUGGGAAAUCAUCGGAAAGGCAACAGGUCAAUCAACCAGUCAGUCACUGGAAAAUAUAUUACUAACAUAGGUUUAUUUCUUUGACGAUAUACAAUUUGUAUUACGGGUUUUCCAGCAUUCUUUUAUAACAUUUUAAAUGGAAUGUUUCAUUUAUUGACAUAAUAUCAAUAUUUACACUUUUCUAAAUAAAAAGUUUUGUUUUCACUUA